rnacentral:lncRNA from 1 species
CAAGGCUGGACUCUGAGCCUUGGCCAACUGUCCACGGAAGGAUGUCACCUUUUGACUCUAACAGAACUUCACUGAAAAGAGGCGGAGAAAUGUAAGAAAAUUGCCCCAAGUCCCAAGCAGGCAAAGGACAGAGCUGGGGCACUUUCCAGCACACUAAUGGCAGGUACUGAGAAACUACAAGCCCAGAGACAUUAACUAACAUGCCUAAAGAGACACGGCCGGUGAGCCACAGAGCUGGAAUGAGAACAGACUGCCUGGACUCCCAGUCCAGUGCUCCCGCCACUAAACCACACAGAUCAACAGUGAACGUGCGGGUCGACCAGAGGCACUGAUGUGCAGAAUGGAACAGGGAAAGAUGACGCCCCAGACUCAGUGGUUCUUUGGGUGCAUAACAUCAACGGAGGUGUGUGUGUUAAGAGGACAGUGAAAUGUUCUUGGGCAGGUCACUGGGGAGAUGUAGAGCAAGGUAGUUGGGAGUGGCUGGCUCUGAUGUGAGACCACUGAGAACCAAAUCUUGAUCCCCUUAUU